UCCGCUCCUGCCCCGCCCUCUCCGCUCUCCGGCAGGGGCCGAGGGACCGAGGGGCCGAGGGGCCGAGGGGCCGAGGAGCCGAGGAGCCGAGGAGCCGAGGAGCCGAGGAGCCGAGGAGCCGAGGGACCCACGCGGCGGCUCUGCGCGUGCGCACCGCCUGCGCUCACGGGACUUGUAGUUCCCCACCGGUCCCGAGCCGCGCCGCGAAUUGUAGCCGCAAGGGUCGCUGCGCCAGCACCGCAACCCUCCACAGGCCAAGUCCCGACCGCGGCGGUCCAGGACAGACAGCAGGCCGACGGGAGUUGUAGUUCACAGCCUCUACGGGGGCGGGAGCCUGCUGUCUCCUUGGUUACCGAACAACGACGCCAGAGGCGUUAGGCCUCACUCCUGACCUCCGCAGGGUGCCCGUGCCUCACCUGUAGCCCGAACUGCGAAAAGCUGAGAGGACCCAGUCGUCCUCUUGACUCCUACGGUAGUUUUAGAGAAAUGGACAUCCCCAAAUUUCUUACAUCUUGCACCUGACGGAGGAUUGCAACCGAGGGCUGCUGAGCCACCUCGACUCACGGCGACUCACAGACCAAUGCCGUACUUCAAGGUCGUGGCCCGGCGUAGUGGUGCAUGCCUGCAAUCCCAGCAUGCGGGAGGCUGAGGCAGGAGGAGUUCAAGUGCAGGGGAAUCCGAGCCAGGGCUUCCUGCGUCUAGGCAGGAGAGUGCUGCUGAGUGAAGUAACCAGGGAGGCACACUUAUUGUUUCUGCCAGCGCUUCCUUCGAGGACAGCUGCUUGAACCCAAGGCACUGUCAUUGCCCGCUGCAGGCUGAGAGGGUCUGAGGCUUGUGUGCAAUUCCAGAUAUUGAGCUAAAGCCGAGCAAUCGCUACCUAAGCAUCCGUUCUUCAUGCUGUCAGUGAAACCUGGGAAGAAGAAUUUUCUUCCCUCCUAAGGGAAGUGAGGACUCACCCUCACCGCCACUGCAGACCAUGGCAGUAAUGAGCCCGACAGACAGCGCCGCUGAACACACAGACAAAUGCUGAGCGAAUGCCAGGGCGGGGCUCGCAGCUACCCCUGUGUGCAGAGAAGACCAAACCCACUGCUCCAAGGCCAGAGGGCAAAGGUUCACCACACGACCUUGAAGAUCAAGGGGAUAAUAUUUACGGCGUUGAGCAGAGCAGAAGCACAGGUGGGAAGAAAUUUGGGGAAAAUUGUACGUUGGCCCAGAGGAUCAGCUACUUCCUAUGAGUGACUCUGAUAGUGGAGAGGCGUGUGGCCGGGGGCUGGCUCCACUACGGCACGUCCAGGCAGGAGCACGGGUGAACGCAGCUGCAGCGCGAGUUGGAGAGAUGCCUCAGAGCCCCGGGCCGCAGUUAAGGUGACGAGAUGCAGCAAUUCUUUAUGAACAUUUCAUUCCUGCUCGCUACACGACGUAAAUUAGAUGGUGUGUUACAUUCGGGCAAUAAGAGAGAUAUGUCACCACGACGCUGGCCCAUUGGAUGGAGAGGGUAAUCCUGCCGUGAAUUUCAUUACUGCUUUUAUAUAGACAGAAUUAGCUCGGUGACAGCGAGCCUGAUUGUCUUUCACUAGGGGUUUGGCGAGGAGCGGAAAAGAUUUCACCCUGAUGUGCACACUACUGAGUGACCCGCUCACCAGCGGCUCUGCUGAUUGCUUUGCACCUCGCAGACGCUGCAAUUGGCUCAGCCUCUCGCCCGCCUGCCACCCGCCCGGCCCCGGCCCUCCCGCCUGGCUCUUUCUUGAAGCAAGAAGAAAGGAGGCCUAAUGGAGGAGUCACAAGGUCACGAAGGGAAAUGUGCGUGUGGGGAGGGCCACGCGGCAGAGCUGAACACAAAAACAAAAACAGCUCCUCUCCAGGCAGGGUCUCUGGGCUGGGGGCUGUGGCCGCUCACACAGCCCCCGAGGAGUGGGCAAGAAGGCCCAGGGUCAGCAGCUCAGACUCCGAAGCCGUCGUCUGCUUCCUGUCCCUUGGCCUGUUCUGCCUCUGGGUCCUUCCCCUGAGGUGGCUCGAGGUUCCUUUCUUGCCUCCUGACCAGAGAGAGUUGGGAAAAGUAAGAACGAGAGUGGCUGUCAUCCCCGGCCUGUGGGCCCAGGGUCCCCAACAGGAAGGCAAGGCAGAAGAGUUGGUUCUUUCUGCUCACUUCUCC